AUUUAACUGCGUAAGGGAUUGCAGUGGAGCUCUUUUUAGGAUUAGCUUUUUAGAUAAUUAUAAAAAAGCGGGAACGAAUAGCUCGCCCCUAA
rnacentral:misc_RNA from 1 species